GCGGAAAGUUUAAAGUUGAAGCGUUUCCCCAGCCGCCUUUGUGAAAUCCCCCAACUGACACAUACACACACAAACACACACAGGCCCCGCAGGAGUGGGUAAUUCAAAAAUUCCAUUGCAUACCCCACAGGCGUUGAGUGCAAAAGCAUAGAGAUUUCAGCUCAAGCGCCUGUAUGUAUGCACUUUUUGAGUGAAAGUGUGGGUGCUUGUUCGAGUGUUGGUCUGGGUAUCUGUGUGAGUAGUGGGCACGCACCGCGAAAAUGAAAGAGAACACGCCCCCAGUUGGCAGCCAGUGAGCGAAUCGACCAACCUAGACCAACCCCCUGGUUCAAGUUCAAUGCAAUCUGCACCCACUGUCGCCGGCGACCUUGAAGACAUAACCACGCGAAGCGGAGGAAGGGAAAUCUGGCAAACACGCUGGCAGCAAUAAUGAACACGGGUAUCUCCCAGACAAAAACUCUCAAUUUCCGCACUUCAACUUGGCAAUGUUUGCUUUGUUCAGUGGAGUCCACUUGAGAGCGUUUCAGACUAAAGAAGAUGAUUUUGGAGGGUUGUCAAACAGCAGAAGAACUUCCCAAUGACGUCAAGACAAUAGAGAAGGAAAGCGAGAGGGCUGGAGCGUAAAAUAGAGAUUAGCCCCAAUCUCUGGAUUCCAAAAUACCCACACUAAAAAUAGUUAUCUCAAGUCAAAUCUUGUUAUCUCCAUUAUCUGCCAGACAAAUGACCGUUAGCUAAAGAAAAACAGGGGGAAAAAAAUAAUAAUAAUAACUGCGAAAAAGAGAAUUCUUCCUAUUCAUUAAUAAUGGUUAACCCAAUGAAAGCAAUUAAAUCAAAUCGAGCCGAGCCGAGUUCGUUUGGCAAAGAUUUUUCAGCAGAGACAUGACCAUGACGUGGCAAACCGCCACCUCAAUCUCUUUCCAACCCUCUAUCUCCAUCUCUAGCUGUCUCUACGACCUCAUCGAAUUGCUAAUGAUCCCAAGGUAAUACUUCAGCUGCUUUAUUGUUAUUUAUUUAUUUAUUCUUUUUUCGAUUAUAAAUUUAUAACAAAG